ACUUCAGAGGAUAGCAGAAGCGUUUGGGAAAGCGCGCCAGAGAGGGUGAGAGCCCCGUAAGCGAAAUCCAAAGGAGGCCUAUCAGUAUCCUGAGUAGGGCGGGACACGUGAAAUCCCGUUUGAAUCCGCGAGGACCAUCUCGCAAGGCUAAAUACUAACCAGUGACCGAUAGUGAACCAGUACCGUGAGGGAAAGGUGAAAAGAACCCCGGGAGGGGAGUGAAAGAGAACCUGAAACCGUGUGCCUACAAGUAGUCAGAGCCCGUUAACGGGUAAUGGCGUGCCUUUUGUAGAAUGA
rnacentral:rRNA from 1 species